ensembl:lncRNA
UGUGGCCCAGUUACCCAACAGCAGGGAGAUAGGAACAAGUGUCGUUUUUAUUUGUUUUUCUGUAGUUUUAAUUUUGUUUUAAUACUGGAGACAACCAAGACUGACCAAAAUAUGACGAGACUGAGCAGAAACCACGUAACCUAACACUUAGUAGGUCAACAAUUUAUCGCCUCCUUUAAUUGAUACAAGGACCUGUAUUACAAACACAUUUUCCUUUUGUUUAUCAUAAAAUUAUUUUUAUGGAAUUAUUUUGAAAAAGAGGGAAAAAAAAUGACUAGGCCUUCAAAAUGUUGACCCUCACUCUCUCUAUUAUUUACAUAUUUCAUAGUUCCCCCCCUCUUUUUUCUUAACUCUUAAUUAAAGUACAAAUAACAGCACAGUGAGCGCGCACUGUGUACUCAGCACAGCCCACUGUAGCCCGGAACUUACCGCAGGCCCACAGAAACUUCUACAAGCUUCAGGUAACGAAUCUGCUUCCGGAAAAAAAGAAAAGAAAAAAUGAGAUGAUAAAAAUCGAAAGGUGUUUUUGUACUAGCAAUAAUAAUAAUAAUAAUAAUAAAAAUCACGUAGCUUUGUUUUAAAGCUGUUUAGUGAAAAUCGUUGGAAAAAUAUUAACAAGACAUCAAGACAGGUGUUUUAAUCAACAACCAGGUAUUUGAGGGGAAAAAACACCGUAAAUAAAACAAGAGAUUAAAAAUCCGAAAAAAACGUAAAAUCAAAACACUAUAAAAUUAAAGUAAAAAUAUGGCAUAAAUAAAAAACAUAGAUGGGGAAAAAUCCACAGGUAUUUAAAACACGGAAUCUCUGAGGACGCUGAAAAAACGAGAAACUGAAACUUUAAAUACCCCCUUCGUCUUCUUUAGAUGUACAUUUCCGCUUGAAAUUUCAAAGGCAGAAUUACACCUGCAUUAUAAAACGGAAUGGUUUUAAUAACGUAAAUAACGUCGACAGUAUUACACGGAAUUAUACAUCUCAAAUUGUUUUCUCAAAUAAAUAAAAUCCACAAAAACAAAAAAAUAAAUAAAUAAAAACGCAAAAAAGUCCGAUGGCCGUCGCAAAAACAUUGUUUAAAAUGUAAUAAUUAAAGCUGAUAAAUAUAACACAGAGGCAAAACUGCAUGUAUUUGUUUAUUAAUGUGUCAUAAAUAAUAAUUUAUACUUCUUCCUCCUGAUGCUGAGGCACCAUAUGUUUAGCAGUUGACCUGGUUUCAACAUUUCCCAUGUUUUUCUUACAGUCCUGAUUUAUAAUAAAAAAAAAAGGCGAGGGGGCUGGGCAGCUGGUCUUAUUUUAAUGUGAGGCCCUUAAAACUGUUUGUGUUUUUCCAGGUAUUUAAAUAUUAAGCUGCGUUUAGUGGAAACAGGCAGUGCGCUAAUAAAGAGAAGAUUAUUUGUCAUUAAAACAAAAUACAAGAAGGAGGAGAAGUCUCAGAAGACUUAAUGCCUUCCUCUGAUGUUUCUUGGAAUAGAACAUUAAAAAAAAAAAUAUUUAGUUGAUAUGCCUCAAAAGUUGAAGGACAUUUGUUGGCUUUCACUAGUCCUAAUCAUGCGAGGCAACUUAUGAGCAUCAAUUAGGCUGAGAUUUGAGCUAAUGAAAGCCCUGAGCAGUGAGUCUCACCACAACCCCCUAAACCAGCCAUUACUGCAGACCACAAUGGCUCUGAUAGCACGCUGUUUUAAGACCCAGCAUUAUGUGGGCAAUAAGUUCUCUAAACCUCACUGCGAGAAAAGAAGGGCACAUUGUGGGAUCAGGCAAGCAAAGUUUAGACAACAUAGAAGGAGUUUUUCUAAGUCCAAAAUGCUUGUCUGUAAACCCCAAAACGAAUCAGGGGAAUUUUUUUCUUCUUCUUUUUACUCCAAAUGACAAGUUUCACAUUCCAAGCUGGAAUAUAACUGCAAACCAUGAUUGACACGGACAAAACUAAUUAUCAGAAGAACACUAAUGC